rnacentral:rRNA from 1 species
GAACGCUGGCGGUAGGCCUAACACCUGCAAGUCGAACGGCAGCACAGUAAGAGCUUGCUCUUACGGGUGGCGAGUGGCGGACGGGUGAGGAAUACAUCGGAAUCUACUUUUUCGUGGGGGAUAACGUAGGGAAACUUACGCUAAUACCGCAUACGACCUACGGGUGAAAGCAGGGGAUCUUCGGACCUUGCGCGAUUGAAUGAGCCGAUGUCGGAUUAGCUAGUUGGCGGGGUAGAGGCCCACCAAGGCGACGAUCCGUAGCUGGUCUGAGAGGAUGAUCAGCCACACUGGAACUGAGACACGGUCCAGACUCCUACGGGAGGCAGCAGUGGGGAAUAUUGGACAAUGGGCGCAAGCCUGAUCCAGCCAUACCGCGUGGGUGAAGAAGGCCUUCGGGUUGUAAAGCCCUUUUGUUGGGAAAGAAAAGCAGCAGGUUAAUACCCCGCUGUUCUGACGGUACCCAAAGAAUAAGCACCGGCUAACUUCGUG